rnacentral:misc_RNA from 1 species
AACCUAGCACACCUGCGGUGUGUACCUGCGGAAGGAUCAUUAUUGAUUUUACUUGGAUGUGCUGGCCCCCGUCUUUUCGGAGGGGGGGGGGCAUGUGCACUCCAUCCCAAUCCCAAUAUCAUCCACCUUUGUGCACUCCCCAGUAGGCACCGAGACCUGCCGGUCUUCUUGUCUAUGUACCUUUUACGCACGCUUUUUUCUGAAUUAUUGGAAUGCAUAUAUAUAUACUUGACACAACUU